rnacentral:lncRNA from 1 species
GAGUGACACUAUGACAUAGAUCGAGUGGCAUCUAAUAAUGUAAAGUAAAGUGACACUAGAGUUAGUGUGAAGCAAAGAAUCAAAGUGAUGUAAAGAAUGAUGACGAUGACUAAAGCUAAAGCAAAGAGAGCAAUAAAGAACGUGUAAAGUUAAAGAAUGCGAAAGCUAAAGAUAGCCCAGAGUAAAAGAAAUGUAAAGAACAAUGAUUGCUAGAGUGGCAACAUAAAGUGAUGUAAUGAACACUAGAGUUAGUGUAAAGUCAAGAUUGAACUUAUAAUCCUUUGAGUUAAGGAUUCGAUCAUACUUGCUAUGAGUUCCGUGCUCGAGGGCGGUCGCUCCCCCUCGGGCGAUGCGCUCCGGAGUUAUGCAUCACGGGUUGGAGUAAACCCGAAAGACGGUCCUAGCUGGUGAGUUCCUGCGAUGAUGGACUUAAUGUGGAGCAAGUUAAUGUGGCGAAACCCCCGGGUUAGCCUUGAGAUUAAAGAACAAAGAGUAAAGAACAACGAGCAAAGAACAAUGACAAAGUGUAAUGUGUAAAGAAUGAAAGAACUUUCAUAAUCUGCAUAUUUUUAAUGUUGAGCAUAUUUCUUGCUACUUUUUCAGGCAUAUUAGCAUCAUAUUAUAGAUUGGUUACUAUUUCUGCUUAUCCUUUCUAUUAUGCCUGAGUUAGUCCUAGUGGGAAAGUCGGUGAUGUUGAGGCCGAACCCACUGGGAACUUCGUUGUAGUUCUCACCCCACUAUUUCCACAGAGCCGGAACCGAGCGAGCCGGCGAGCGACCGAGGUAAAGGUAUCGCGCCUUAGUCAGAGGCCACCAAAGUUGGGUUUCAUUUUAUAGUAAAGUACCCUAUGAUCAUCUUUUGUAUUUGAUGAUUUAAGAUGUUAAUGUAUAAAGCAAAGAAAAGAAUGUAAAGCAUAUUUGAGGUAGAUGUGAUGUAAAAAAAAAUGAUGUAAUGUGUAAUGAAGUACAAGGAAUCAUGAAUGUAAAUGGAUGCAAUGUAUAUGAUCAAAAACGAAUCAUAGUCCUUGUAAAUGUUUAGUUUUCCUUUCUUUCACUAAUGGCUAUUGCUUACCCUCGUGUAAGCCGUUUGUGUAUGUUUCUGCUAGUGCAUUUCUUGUUUGAAUUUGUA